rnacentral:misc_RNA from 1 species
UUGCCCUUCCCCUCCUCCACUUACGCUCCCGUCCCCUGUCGCACACCCGCGGCAGCGCCCGCAUGACCUCCCGCAUCCCACUCCCCCUGCGGCUGGUGCAGUCUGACUUGUGGACUGCCACGGCGAGCGGCAGGAGAAGCGCCGGCUCCCGUGUCCUGACUGCGUACAAACCGAGCGGCCUCCCAUGCUAUGCCACGUCGCAGGUGAGCGCGGUGGCCGCCAACGGUGGCGAUGGGCGCCGCCUCUGCGCCAUUCACACACGACACACAUCCUCUGCAUCUUCCUCGGCGACUGCUGUCGAGGCGGGACCACAACCGCACCCUGAAGACCCCAGCGACUCCCUCCUUACCCGUGUCGUCGACGCCGCGCUUCCAGGGUGCGCGCCGUACGUGGCACUGCCGGUUGUCUCGUCCCUUCUGCGCCGCGGGAGUCACGACACCGUCGCAGCCGCGCAGCUGAACCAGUGGACCAGUCGCCACAAAGGCCUUGUGAUGGUGACAGGGACGCCGAGCGAUGCCCUGUUCUUUCGCAACGCCGCACAGCUCGGCCUCGUGCAGCAGACGUACCGGGUGGUGUGUCGUCUGCCAUCAGGCGUUGCCGGCGCAGCGCGGCGGUAUUUGCGCGCACAUCACAUCUGUCAGCAGCCGCGACAGGGUAGCGAUGGGGCCUCUGCGGCGAAGGGGAUGCUGAACCCAUACGUGCAGGCGCACAUGGAGCGACGGCGUCAGCGACGGCAGCUCGCCGACCUUUCCAUCGGCAUUCCGCUGAGCGCCGAGUUUCCUCCUGCCCCAGCGAAGGCUGAAGCGACUGCGGUGUCGAUGCUUACAAGUGAUGCCCGGCUUCCAGCCAGCGUGCGCCCGCACCCGCUCGUCGGCGGGGGCUUCUUUGAUGUAGCGCGUGGGCAGCUACGCGUGCAAGGCACGGUGAGGUGCUAUAUAAGGACUCGGGUGCCUCUGACGGCAUCCUCGGCAGCGCGUGUGCACCAGCGGUCGCGGCUGCACAGUCUUUUUUCUGCCCCGGAUGCUGCCAUACCUGGCGCCGGCAGCGGCGCAUUCCGCCCCGACGAGGACCUGGGCGAGUCUCAGCACCCCUGGUUGCGGCCGAGGUGGCGCCUCGGUGUCUCUCUUGAUAUACCGCACAUGCAGUGCGACGUAGCAGCAGCGGGCGGCGACGACGUGGAUCACCCCCGCCGCAGAAGCGUUCCGGCGCCACGGGGCAAGUCGCUGUCGAUGGAGUUCCGUUUACUGUCCCUGUCCCCGCGCGACGGCAGCGAUGUGGCAUUGUACGAGGUGCACACCCACGGCGACACCACCGCCGACGAGGUGGCCGCGGUGUUCCAGGCAGAGGGCCUGCGCGUGGUGAAUGACUACGUGCAAGAUGUGCCGUUGGCGGUGGCAGUGGAGGAGGUGGCAGCGCGCAUGCGAGCGGCUCCACCUGGCCUGCUGCACGAGCUCCCACUCGGGCUGCAGCACCGCCUUCGCUCGGCGACGGCGGAGGAGCUGGUGGCGCUGCCACUGAUGCGAAUGCCCCUCGAGGAUGCCGAUCUCCUUGCUGUGCAGCACAUGCUCGUACAGCUGUCUUCACUCUCGCCAUCGCUGCCGUUUGCUGACGAUGUGGAGCGGCUGCGGCAAGUGGUGCUGACCGCGGCGUCGUCCACAAGCGGCAGAGCACGCCACCCCCUCCAGCGCCUUCUUCUUAGCACUCUCUCGUCGUUGAGGCUGGCAAACGAGGUGGAGCGCCGCGUGUACGAGCAGGUGCUUGCGUUGACCCUCGGCACUGGCGUCGAGUGCGCUGGCGUUGUCUUCCCAGAUCCAUCGGACGCAGGCAACGUGCACGUCUUGCAGCAGCUCUGGCUCACCUAUGAGCAGCAGCGACAGCGACAACCGUCCUUGACCGAUGCGGCGCGCGCGGCGCGACAGCAUCCGCUUGCCUCUUCGCUACGCUACACCACCCGCAGCGUCCUCGACGAUCCCGCUGGGCUAACCCGUGUGCCGCUCCUCCAGGAUUUGGCGAUGGGCUUCGCGUCAGGGGGCGCUGCGGAGUCUUUGAGUGCGCCUGAUUGCAACGGCAACGUUCCUCGCGAUCGCGGCGAGUGCAGCUUUUCCCAGGCGGCUGAGCUGCUCAGCGUGCUCUCUUACUCGCAGAAUGCAGAGGCAGGGCACAGGUUAUCCAGCGACGAGGCGCGCGAGACCGCGGCGUCGGCUCUGACGUGUCUCAAUGACGCGGCAAGGCGAUGGAUGCAGACUGAGGUUCCGUCGCCGUAUGCGGCGGCCUUUCAAGAGUGGUGCGCCGCUUCCCUGGCUCCGUCGCGCUGCGCCGAUACGGCUGCCCCUGAUGCGGGCGUGGCCGUUCUCUUGCCAUCGCCUGAGAGCCUGUUACGGCGCUGCGACGGCCCAGGCACAUCGAAAGAGCGUGGAUCCGACCGUGUCGCGGAAAGCCCUCAUUCAAGCGAUGGCGGCGGCCACGCAGCAGUGCCACAGCGGGAGACGCUCCUGGAGCACGCCCACCUUCCCGUGCGUGUGUUCCUGCGUGUGGAGGAGCUGGCAGAGCUGCGGUGUGCGUACUGUGGAGGGGUGGGGCACACGUGGCAGCACUGCGUCGCGCGCGUCGCAGAGGCUGUGGCUGUGCUGAAGGAUGACGGUCUGGUGGACAAGUCGUUGCCACUCCCCGAGAACACCGCAAGCACUGCUGUUGGAUCACCGGUCUCUGAGUCCGCGCCGGCACCUCUGGCGGCCUCGGUGAUGGACAGCGAAGGCAUCACCUCGGCCGACGACGCCGCGGCUGCACUGGCGGAGCAGGCGAACGCUCUCAGGCGGCAUCGUCAGCACCAGCAGCAACAUAUUGCGAGAAUCGGCUGCGAUGGUGAUGCGUCUGCGUCGCUUUCAGUGUCCUCGGCCCCAUUCGCAGUCGACGUCCCGCUCAUUGCCGUGCCCAAUGCCGCUGCAACGCACCGCUUCAAAGCUGGCCACGCCCUGCGCAGCGAGUCUCGCAAGCCUGCCGUGCACCGCCGCGUCAUGCGGUGUGUGUACUGCGGUGGCCGUCAUCACGUGACGGCGUGCCCGACACUGCGGGCGCAGGAUAGCGAGUCCGAGGCGCGCCGCGCCGACGCUGCUGCGGCCGCUUCACCGGACUCAACCUCUUCGACGUCGUCUCCGAACCGCAGCGGGCCGCCGCUCUUCUGCAUCAAGUGUGGACAAACCGGCCACCUCUACACGCGCUGCCGCGGGGUGCCCGUGGGCCUUCACCACGCGACUCACUGCCCCAUCUGCCUCCAGCCGCGCACCAGCGCGUCGCAUGAUCCGAAGCAUUGUCCUCGGCGGGUGCCCGUGCCAGAAGGCUACCGACGCGACGGGAUACCAGCAGCGGAGGAGUGCAACACUCAACGUAAAGCAUCCCCUUGGCAUCCAUUGAGCCAGCCACAGGCGGGUUCAGAGCACGGUUCUCGUCCAGCGACGGCUGACCGACAGCCGUGGAGGGGCAGUAUACAUGUUGGCGGGGUGCCUCGCCGCGGCCGAUGCCGUACCUCUGUGUUAAUAGCCGACAGCUUUGUGGACAGCAAGUGAGACACCUGCACACUUACUGCGUGUCUGUGUCGGUGUGUUUGUGUGUGCUGCAUGAAGCGCCCGCUUGCGUUUUUGUUCACAGGUCGAAUGCAGAACUGCUACUGCCUGCAGUUGUAUCUAGCCAGUGGCGUCAACGUGUAGAGUGCAGAGGGGGUUGGUAGGUUGCCGCAGAGAUGCGUCUCGCAUGCUCUGCGACCUUCGACUCACACUCAUGCUCUCAGUUGGCUGCGGUACUUUUAUGGGUUGUUAUUGCUGGUGUCGGGGAUGCAGCAGCCACUCCCACCACCCCCGCACUCCCGCACUUCUCCACCUACCACCAUCGUCAUCGUCUCCUCUGCGUGCAGGUGUUUGAGAGAUGGUAUGUAGAGUGUGGUGGUGGUGGUGAUGGUGGUGGUGGGGGAGGGGGCAUUUCGCCCUUGUCAGCACAUCGUUGGCGUCGAGGGGUGACGGCAAGGGGUGGUGGCACCCUGCCGUCGUGCUUCGCUGGCAGGGGUAGCGAGAUGUCUGCCUCACAGCUGGCCACGCUUCUCCUUCUCCUGCCGCUUCCCUCUCGCUCUCUUGCUCUUUCUCUGUUCAUGGGUCGCGUCAACGAAG